rnacentral:rRNA from 1 species
CCUACGGGAGGCAGCAGUAAGGAAUAUUGGUCAAUGGACGCAAGUCUGAACCAGCCAUGCCGCGUGGAGGAUGAAGGUCCUCUGGAUUGUAAACUUCUUUUAUCUGGGACGAAAAAAGGGUUUUCUAACUCGUCUGACGGUACCAGAUGAAUAAGCACCGGCUAACUCCGUGCCAGCAGCCGCGGUAAUACGGAGGGUGCAAGCGUUAUCCGGAUUCACUGGGUUUAAAGGGUGCGUAGGCGGGCAAUUAAGUCCGUGGUGAAAUACCUGAGCUUAACUUGGGAACUGCCAUGGAUACUAUUUGUCUUGAAUGUCGUGGAGGUUAGCGGAAUAUGUCAUGUAGCGGUGAAAUGCUUAGAUAUGACAUAGAACACCUAUUGCGAAGGCAGCUAACUACGCGAAUAUUGACGCUGAGGCACGAAAGCGUGGGGAUCAAACAGGAUUAGAUACCCUGGUAGUCCACGCCCUAAACCGAUGAUUACUCGACAUUGGCGAUACACAGUCAGUGUCUGAGCGAAGACAUUAAGUUAAUACCACCCGUACGGGAAGGUACGGACCGCCGAAGGUUAGUAAACGUACGAAAGUAGUAAGUUAGUACGGCGUAGAGACGUUACGACCGACGGACCGACCGACCGGAGGGGAGGGUUAGGG